rnacentral:lncRNA from 1 species
UUCUUGCUGGUUUCCCCAACCAUUCAAAUUAUUGUAGCCUCCUUUAUCUUUAUUGUUUAACCAUUUUCCUUUGCCUUUAUUUUUUCUUGCUGAUCGCGUCUGCAACGCCACAUCACUUUUCAACUUAUUUGCAGCUCUUUCAACCAUUUUUUGUUCAUGAGAUUCAAGCGUCCCUUGAAGCUCUUCUUUUAUCAAUGCUGAAAAGUGUUU